AUGCUUGCUAAUGAAGCAGCUGGGUAAGAUGACUUUUCUAAGGUUGGUGAUUCAUUUAUUACUGUAUAAUGUGAUUAUCAGCCAAAGAUGCCUUGCUAUCUUCUUGUUAAUUCAAAUUUGUCUGUUUAGAAAUCUGACUAGAAGAAAACUAAGAUUAUUUUAAUUAUUCUCUGGAAGAAAAACUUGGGUAAAUUAUCAAAUUUUUCACUUCAUGAAGUUGUUUUUGCCUACUGGUAUAAGGACUAUUGCAAAUGUGCACAUUGUAUGAGUUUUCACCAAGGACAGCCUCCUAAGCAGUGUUAUGACAACCUGAUUGUGUUAAGCACUGAUGGCCAUGGGAAGUUUGCCUGAGUGAAGACUGGAGAAUCAGACCCAAGCUCUUGAGUACAGAGACUAUAAUUGAAAAAUUGGAAGUCUUAACCCAGCAGUCCAACUCCAGAGGCUCUGUUGUCAACUAUGCUCCACUCACUUUAAUUUCAGAUUUGCAAACCACAGCACAGAAGUCCUACCACAAAAUGAAAGACAAAUGACAAAAUGGAGAAGUAUUUAUUACAUGUGUAAUGUAUCAUGUAAAGCCAUUUAAUUCACUUCAUGAAGCAAGUAUACAACUGAUUUCAAAAUAUCACAAAGAUGGC